GUGCAGCAGGCGCGAAUCUUCGGCAAUGGGCGAAAGCCUGACCGAGCGACGCCGCGUGCGGGAAGAAGGCCUUCGGGUUGUAAACCGCUUUUCUCAGGGAACAAUCCCGCUUUAGCGGGAUGAGGGUACCUGAGGAAUAAGGGGGGCUAAUCACGUGCCAGCAGCAGCGGUAAUACGUGACCCCCGAGCGUUAAUCCGGAUUUUAC
rnacentral:rRNA from 1 species